GAUGAACGCUGGCGGCGUGCCUAAUACAUGCAAGUCGAGCGGUAACACUUCGGGUGACGAGCGGCGGACGGCUGAGUAACGCGUAGGAACAUGCCCCAAAGUGAGGGAUAAGCACCGGAAACGGUGUCUAAUACCGCAUAUGGUCUAAGGAUUAAAGUCUUCGGACGCUUUGGGAUUGGCCUGCGUAUGAUUAGUUAGUUGGUAAGGUAACGGCUUACCAAGACCACGAUCAUUAGCUGGUUUGAGAGGAUGAUCAGCCAGACUGGGACUGAGACACGGCCCAGACUUCUACGGAAGGCAGCAGUAGGGAAUUUUCCACAAUGGACGAAAGUCUGAUGGAGCAACGCCGCGUGCAGGAUGACGGCCUUCGGGUUGUAAACUGCUUUUAUGGUGAUGAAUUUGACAGUAACCCCAA
rnacentral:rRNA from 1 species